GAUGAACGCUGGCGGCGUGCCUAAUACAUGCAAGUCGAGCGAACGGACGAGAAGCUUGCUUCUCUGAUGUUAGCGGCGGACGGGUGAGUAACACGUGGAUAACCUACCUAUAAGACUGGGAUAACUUCGGGAAACCGGAGCUAAUACCGGAUAAUAUUUUGAACCGCAUGGUUCAAAAGUGAAAGACGGUCUUGCUGUCACUUAUAGAUGGAUCCGCGCUGCAUUAGCUAGUUGGUAAGGUAACGGCUUACCAAGGCAACGAUGCAUAGCCGACCUGAGAGGGUGAUCGGCCACACUGGAACUGAGACACGGUCCAGACUCCUACGGGAGGCAGCAGUAGGGAAUCUUCCGCAAUGGGCGAAAGCCUGACGGAGCAACGCCGCGUGAGUGAUGAAGGUCUUCGGAUCGUAAAACUCUGUUAUUAGGGAAGAACAUAUGUGUAAGUAACUGUGCACAUCUUGACGGUACCUAAUCAGAAAGCCACGGCUAACUACGUGCCAGCAGCCGCGGUAAUACGUAGGUGGCAAGCGUUAUCCGGAAUUAUUGGGCGUAAAGCGCGCGUAGGCGGUUUUUUAAGUCUGAUGUGAAAGCCCACGGCUCAACCGUGGAGGGUCAUUGGAAACUGGAAAACUUGAGUGCAGAAGAGGAAAGUGGAAUUCCAUGUGUAGCGGUGAAAUGCGCAGAGAUAUGGAGGAACACCAGUGGCGAAGGCGACUUUCUGGUCUGUAACUGACGCCGAUGUGCGAAAGCGUGGGGAUCAAACAGGAUUAGAUACCCUGGUAGUCCACGCCGUAAACGAUGAGUGCUAAGUGUUAGGGGGUUUCCGCCCCUUAGUGCUGCAGCUAACGCAUUAAGCACUCCGCCUGGGGAGUACGACCGCAAGGUUGAGACUCAAAGGAAUUGACGGGGACCCGCACAAGCGGUGGAGCAUGUGGUUUAAUUCGAAGCAACGCGAAGAACCUUACCAAAUCUUGACAUCCUUUGACAACUCUAGAGAUAGAGCCUUCCCCUUCGGGGGACAAAGUGACAGGUGGUGCAUGGUUGUCGUCAGCUCGUGUCGUGAGAUGUUGGGUUAAGUCCCGCAACGAGCGCAACCCUUAAGCUUAGUUGCCAUCAUUAAGUUGGGCACUCUAAGUUGACUGCCGGUGACAAACCGGAGGAAGGUGGGGAUGACGUCAAAUCAUCAUGCCCCUUAUGAUUUGGGCUACACACGUGCUACAAUGGACAAUACAAAGGGCAGCGAAACCGCGAGGUCAAGCAAAUCCCAUAAAGUUGUUCUCAGUUCGGAUUGUAGUCUGCAACUCGACUACAUGAAGCUGGAAUCGCUAGUAAUCGUAGAUCAGCAUGCUACGGUGAAUACGUUCCCGGGUCU
rnacentral:rRNA from 1 species